AAUAAAUAUGGAAUUUAUAAAUGAAUUAAUGAAUAUGUAAGUACAUUUGUGUUGAGUCUGUCUAUAACUUUAUAAGAGUAUAUGUGGAAUAAAUCACUGGCAGAUUUUAUGAAUAAAAUGGAAGACUUAAGUUGUAAGUAAAUAAUAAUUUUAGAAAAAUUUCUACAACAUUCCUCAAUUUGAGUAACAUUUCGAAGAGCCCUGCAAAAACUUUAAAAAGGCUUUUGUUAUUCAUGACUUAAGUUGUAUGACAGAAAGCACAGUAACCCUUCAUUGCAUAUCUCAUACGGUUAUAGUUCUUUUUUUUAUUUAUUUAUUUGAGAGAUAGAGUUAGACAGUGAGAGAGAGAGACAGAGAGAAAGGUCUUCCUUCUGUUGGUUCACUCCCCAAAUGGCUGCUACAGCGAUCCAAAGCCAGGAGCCAAGUGCUUCUUCCUGAUCUCCCAUGCAGGUGCAGGGCCCAAGCACUUGGGCCAUCCUCCACUGCUUUCCCUGGCCCACAGCAGAGAGCUGGACUGGAAGAGGAGCAACCGAGACUAGAACCCGGCCCCACCUCUGCCAUGGCAUUUUCCCAUCCAUCCCCUUCUGCAGGUAUUUUGGUGGCACAUGACACAGCGUUGAUGAGUGAAUCAUUGGCCAGGAAUCAGUGGCCUCAUAGGCACAAGAUGAUUUCAAGAAAGAUGUCAUGGGGCCAGUGCUGUUGCUCAGCAGGUUGGAGCCAUGGUCUACAGAGGCAGCAACCCAUAUGGGCUCCAGUUGGAGUCCUGGCUGCUCUACUUCCAGUCCAGCUCCCUGCUAAUGUGCCUGCGAAAGCAGUGGAGGAUGGCCCAAGUGCUUGGGCCCCUGCACAGUGUUUGAAUCUUUGAAGAUCAACGAAGAAAGAAAUGUAUUGUUCAGCACAUUUUUACUCCUGAUGUAACUUCCUCUCUCCUAUUUUCUCCUCCCUUUUUUUUCUCUGUGAAACCUCACAUCAUUCCUAAGGAUGAGAAACUCACAGACUAAAAAUGUAAGGCUUUCUGUGCGUCGGGAGGAGAAUGUUGUCAUUUAAAAUAAAAUAGCUCUUACCAAGCAGAACAAGCUCCCUGAGUAUUUCGUUCCUGGGACUGUUUGCAUUCUUUCCCAGUGAGCUGGAGCGAUAGCCUUAGAACCUAUUUAUAACAGGCAAAGGGAGAUAUUCGGUGAUUCAGUGCCAGGUUCAGAAUAAAAGCCUCAAAUGAUUGGGUGGGAUUUCUACGUGCCUCUUCCCAGCAAGCCUCCUUUCUCCUUUUGGGGCAGACGUGGCUAUAUGUCAGCCUGUGAGAACCGAACUCAAGAAGAGUGUGGUGUGGAAAUGGAAACAGUUGGGUUGAAACCAUACAUGGUGAAGUCAAAAAGAUACUCUUUCUUGAGCUGUUACUGAAAUAUGCUGGGGUUAUUUCAGUGCCUGAAGAAUAAAUAGAACUUGAAGCACUCCAGAGGAUAGUGUGAAAAUAUGUGAGAGGACUCUGUGAAUUUUCCCAGGCAAUACCUCGCAGCCAAUUAUAUUUUCACCUUCCUCUGACUUUAAGAAAACAUUAUUUCUAUGCAAUAUGGACUGUACCCUUUGUGAGUGUGAGUGGAGGCAGACUGUCCCACUUGUUCCUACCUAACACUGUGCUCCCCGGGAUUGAAGGAAAAGAGAGAAUCAAAAACAGCAACAACAAAAUCACAAACACAAGAAACUUUCCAAAUUAUUAGGUAACUCAUUAUGAAACACAGAAUCAUGGAAUAAGAGGCCUGGGUAGGACACUGAAAGUCCUUAGUCCAAGCUCUUCUUUAAUAGGGAGAAAACAAGACACAGAAACUAAAAAUACCUUACCUGAUAACCUAGUCAUUUAUAACAGAACUGAAAUAAUUUCCCAAGACUGUUUUUUUUUUUUACCCCAGGCAAAGAGUGCUUUGCGUUGAGAAACACAAACCAGCAAUAAAAAUUACUAAUGGAAAGUGUGUGUAUUUGUUGUUGGGGCAAUGUAAGCAGCCCACUAUAGUCCCUAAACUUAUGGAUUCUGGGGCCCCUGUAGCUACACAGCAGUCACAAUGUCUUGCUUUUUGGUGUUGUUAUAUUUUCUUUAACCCAAUAUAUUAAAAAUUAUUAUGUGAACAUGUUAUCAAUUUAAAAUAGUCUCUUAUUACUUACCAGAUAAUUGACAUAUUGUUAUAGUAAUCAAUCUGUUAUGGUGUGUACUUUGUGUUUACCGCACAUCUCAACGAAG